UAAUCAGAGGAUGCUGGGAGGAAUCUAAGAAAUUAUCUGAUUUCUUAGCAAAUGGGGAAACUGAGGCUCUGUGGUCAGAUAGAUAGUGAGAAGGCCAAUCAAGAUUUGUCUCAGGUUCUUAGACCACAAGCUCAUGGCUCUUUGCACCAUAUCCCAUGGUUAGACAUCCAUGUUUAAAACAUUUUACAUGUUUUACAUGUUUGGGGGUGAGAGUAACUUUAGCCAAGGUCAUGGUUCCUGAGUUUGUGGUGGUUCAUUGAAGAAUGCAGUGAGUGGGAGGAAGGAAUAGGAUCAGCUUGGUCUCCAUUUGGGAUGAGGGAGCAGAGAGUCUCUCCAGGGUCCAGGAGCAUCUUCCCAGGGACCUAUGGUUGUCUCCAGCCUUACUGAAAGCCUCUAUGGGUCCUCUGAGCCCCACCCUAUCUGGGGAUUGCCCUCCCUCCCCCACAACAAAUGACUUCAGUCAGCAACCUCUGCCUUUAAUUAGAACCAGAGAAAGACUGGCAAGGUGCCCAAGGCUGAGCCUGUGGUUUUCUGGCAGGCUAUCAGAGUCCUCUCUUCUCAGUCUGCAUCACGAGGCUGGCUGAGGUUCCUCAGAAAGCCCCACCAUGCCAAUUCAAGGAAGGGUGGGGCAGGGACCUCAAUGGGGCCCAUGGCUGUAGCCAGAGAAUGGGACCCAGGCUAGGGGCCCCAGCCCCUCCCCCUAGACACUCACAGACUCUUCCCCUAACAAUGAGACCUAAGGAAAGCAGAGGUUAGAGGCCCCUGUGAUUACACUAUGCCAAAGGGGGAUCACUAAGGGGGGGAAGGCAGCAUGAGACUCCUAAGGGAAGAGAAGGGACCUUAUUUUCCUCAUCUUUCCUACACUUUCACCCUUGCUUCUUGUUCCUCUAGUGAGAAGGAUCUAAGAUCCAAAAUCUACAAAAGCAAGCCACUUAAAUUCUCUGAUCCUCAGUUUUCUCAUCUGUAAAUGGGGAUCAUAAUAAAAUUAAAAGUACUCCAUUAUAGUAAAUUAAGAUCUACUCCCUCUACAUCAAGAAGGCCUGGGUUCAAAUUCUACCUCUCAAGUCAUCUAACCGCUCAGUGAUUGAGGUAACUCUUUAUCUUAGGGUUCAAUGAUUUCCAAGGGAUCCAUGGAUAGAUUACAAGGAAUUUAUAAAUUGGACAGGAAAAAAAAACACAUUACAUCUUUGUUUUCACUGAGAUCCACCUGAAAUAUAGCAUUUCCUCCAAUUAUUUUAAAAAUGGAACAUUUUUCUUAGAAAGGCUUCACCAGAUUGAACAGGGAGGGGGUCAGUGAUACAAAGCAGUCUAAGAAUGUCAGCUCUAAGACUACACAUUGCAGAGAAGGUGCUAACUUGCACAGGGGGAGGUAGUUUCUCACCUGGGAGUUCCUGUACAGACAUCAUCACAAAUUAGGCCCCUAUUCCUGUCCCUUAACAGGAUCCUCAAAUUUCCAAUUGGAAGGGACCAUAUGGACCUAUUUAAAUAAAAGACUCCCCUGAAACAUUCCCCCAAAGUAGUCAUCUAGACUUCCCCUUGAAGACCUCCAACCAUGGGAAACUCACGAUGGUAUGAACUCAUUCCACUAUUCUAGACCCUUUUCGGAAUGCAAAGGUCCCUCUGCACCUUUCCCUGAAUUCCUCCUAGCUCUACCUCUGGAGCUGAGCACGAUUAGGUUAAAUCCUCUCCUGUGGGACAUUGCCCACCCUCUGCAUUUGCAGGCAGAUCUCUUGUAGCUAAGCCUGCUGUUCCUCCUCCUUCUCCCCCCACCAUGUACCCCAAGGGCAAGAGAAGCACACCAUAAACCUUAGAGAGUUUGGAGCUCCCAACAGUGGACAGGGUAGAAUAGAGACAGCUUCCCUCCUCUCAGGCCCCCCACCAAAUCUAAGUGACUCAUAUCCUGAUUCCAGACCCUUCAUCUCUCCCACAGCCUUAGCAGAGUUGUGCUCCCUUUUAGGGCCCCCUUCUCCCACCCCCACACCCCCAGGAUGCUGGAAGAAGAUUAAAAAAGGGAGGGAGAAGGGCUGGUCUGCAGCUGCAGCCCCCUCUGGCUGUGGGUGUAGUCUCCAUUUUCCUCCAAAGACCACACUGCUAUGGGGAGGAUGGGGUGGGGGUAGGAGCUUUCAUUUUUCCUUCCCCCGGGAGUUCAGGAAACCUUAAUUGUAGGGAAGGGAGGGUGAGGCCAGAUGUGGCACAGCCAGGCAGCCUAGCAUCAUCUACAUCAACUUGGGGGCUAGGGAUGAAUUGGCAGCCUUGAACAUGCACACACACACACAUACACACACACACACACACACACACACACACACACACCUCCUUAUAAAAAGCCAACUUUCCACUCUAACAUCAUAAGCUAAACACCCAUAUUUUUAUAAAGGGAAACUGAGACCUAGGAAGGCUUCUCUCCCUCCUACCGGGAACCAGUUCAUAGCAGUAUCUACCCUGACCAGUAACUCUGCCCCAGAAGUCCUUUGUUUGGGUCUACCAGCCAAUAAGAGGCCAGGAGAUUCCACCAUAUAUAGGAUCAUGGGAUUGAUGUCUGGUUCAGACUCUAGAAACCAAAGGAUUAUAAAAUUGGUCAUGUAGGGCCAUCUCCAUCACAUCUUGGCAUGCCAGCUAUGUGGCUCAUGGUCAAGUUAGAUUCCUACCCUGAAUCUCAGUUUUCUCCUUUAUAAAAAGGAGAAAAUAAUACUUGCAGCCCCCUCACUCCCCCCCUACUACCACCUAGUGUUGUUUGGAAGGAAGCACUUGCAAACCUUAACCCUCUGUAGAAAUAAGAGUUGGUUCUUAUCAUUAUUCUAGGCAUUCAGGAUCUUAGCUUUCUUCUGUUCUGGGGAGAAAAAUUUCUGUCCUGCUCCCAGAGACGGUCCAAGUUCCAGAUAAACAGCUCCCACCAUCUCAUCCCUUGGGACGGCUAGUGCAGGAACCUUUGGUUUCCCAUCCUGCUUCGCCGGAGCUGAUAAGAGUGCUGGAUUUGGAAAAGGGCUCAAGUUCAAAUCCUGCCUUGGCCACUUCACCCUUGUGUGCCACUACUCAAUUCUGCCUUUCUUCAUUUGUAAAAUGAGAAACUUGGAUUA